rnacentral:rRNA from 1 species
UAGAGUUUGAUCCUGGCUCAGGAUGAACGCUAGCUACAGGCUUAACACAUGCAAGUCGAGGGGAAACGAUAGAGAAAGCUUGCUUUUUCUAGGCGUCGACCGGCGCACGGGUGAGUAACGCGUAUCCAACCUGCCCAUCACUUGGGGAUAACCUUGCGAAAGUAAGACUAAUACCCAAUGACGUCUCUAGAAGACAUCUGAAAGAGAUUAAAGAUUUAUCGGUGAUGGAUGGGGAUGCGUCUGAUUAGCUUGUUGGCGGGGUAACGGCCCACCAAGGCGACGAUCAGUAGGGGUUCUGAGAGGAAGGUCCCCCACAUUGGAACUGAGACACGGUCCAAACUCCUACGGGAGGCAGCAGUGAGGAAUAUUGGUCAAUGGGCGAGAGCCUGAACCAGCCAAGUAGCGUGCAGGAUGACGGCCCUAUGGGUUGUAAACUGCUUUUAUAAGGGAAUAAAGUGAGUCUCGUGAGACUUUUUGCAUGUACCUUAUGAAUAAGGACCGGCUAAUUCCGUGCCAGCAGCCGCGGUAAUACGGAAGGUCCGGGCGUUAUCCGGAUUUAUUGGGUUUAAAGGGAGCGUAGGCCGGAGAUUAAGCGUGUUGUGAAAUGUAGACGCUCAACGUCUGCACUGCAGCGCGAACUGGUUUCCUUGAGUACGCACAAAGUGGGCGGAAUUCGUGGUGUAGCGGUGAAAUGCUUAGAUAUCACGAAGAACUCCGAUUGCGAAGGCAGCUCACUGGAGCGCAACUGACGCUGAAGCUCGAAAGUGCGGGUAUCGAACAGGAUUAGAUACCCUGGUAGUCCGCACGGUAAACGAUGGAUGCCCGCUGUUGGUCUGAAUAGGUCAGCGGCCAAGCGAAAGCAUUAAGCAUCCCACCUGGGGAGUACGCCGGCAACGGUGA